rnacentral:rRNA from 1 species
AGCCCUUGACAUACCAAUCGCGAUUUCCUGAGAAGGAUUUCUUCAGUUCGGCUGGAUUGGAUACAGGUGCUGCAUGGCUGUCGUCAGCUCGUGUCGUGAGAUGUUGGGUUAAGUCCCGCAACGAGCGCAACCCUCGCCUUUAGUUGCCAUCAUUUAGUUGGGCACUCUAGAGGAACUGCCGGUGAUAAGCCGGAGGAAGGUGGGGAUGACGUCAAGUCCUCAUGGCCCUUAUGGGCUGGGCUACACACGUGCUACAAUGGCGAUGACAGAGGGUCGCAAGCCAGCGAUGGUGAGCUAAUCUCUAAAAGUCGUCUCAGUUCGGAUAGCAGUCUGCAACUCGACUGCUUGAAGC